CGCGUAGGCGGUUAAAUAAGUCAGAUGUGAAAGCCCCGGGCUCAACCUGGGAACUGCAUUUGAAACUGUUUAGCUAGAGUGUGGUAGAGGAGAGUGGAAUUUCAGGUGUAGCGGUGAAAUGCGUAGAUAUCUGAAGGAACAUCAGUGGCGAAGGCGGCUCUCUGGACCAACACUGACGCUGAGGUGCGAAAGCGUGGGUAGCAAACG
rnacentral:rRNA from 1 species